GUGCACCAGGCGAGAAUUUUUCUCAAUGGGGGAAACCCUGAAGGAGCGACGCCGCGUGGAGGAUGAAGGUCUUCGGAUUGUAAACUCCUGUCAUUUGGGAACAAGUUGCAUCGAUUAACUGUCGAUGCAUUGAUAGUACCAGAAGAGGAAGAGACGGCUAACUCUGUGCCAGCAGCCGCGGUAAUACAGAGGUCUCAAGCGUUGUUCGGAUUCAUUGGGCGUAAAGGGUGCGUAGGUGGCGGGGUAAGUCAGGUGUGAAAUCUCGAGGCUCAACCUCGAAACUGCACUUGAUACUGCCUUGCUAGAGUACUGGAGAGGAGAUUGGAAUUUACGGUGUAGCAGUGAAAUGCGUAGAUAUCGUAAGGAAGACCAGUGGCGAAGGCGAAUCUCUGGACAGUUACUGACACUGAGGCACGAAGGCCAGGGGAGCAAACGGGAUUAGAUACCCCUGUAGUCCCUGAGACGCCAAGGCACAC
rnacentral:rRNA from 1 species